rnacentral:rRNA from 1 species
CCCUUAGAUGUCCUGGGCCGCACGCGUGUUACACUGACGCCUACAGCGAGUACUUCCCAGCCCCGAGAGGUGGCUGGUAAUCAGCAAUAGGCGUCGUGAUGGGGAUAGAUCUUUGGAAUUAUGGAUCUUGAACGAGGAAUGCCUAGUAAGCGCAGGUCAUUAGCCUGCGUUGAUUAAGUCCCUGCCCUUUGUACACACCGCCCGUCGCUCCUACCGAUUUCGAGUGGUCCGGUGAAUCUUUCGGACUGCGCGCGGCUUCGUGCCGUGUCGCGGAAAGUCAGGUAAACCUUAUCACUUAGAGGAAGGAGAAGUCGUAACA